rnacentral:rRNA from 1 species
CCUACGGGGUGCUGCAGUGGGGGAUAUUGCACAAUGGGGGAAACCCUGAUGCAGCGACGCCGCGUGAGUGAAGAAGUAUUUCGGUAUGUAAAGCUCUAUCAGCAGGGGAGAAAAUGACAGUACCUGAGCAAGAAGCCCCGGCUAACUACGUGCCAGCAGCCGCGGUAAUACGUAGGGGGCAAGCGUUAUCCGGAUUUAAUGGGUGUAAAGGGGGCGUAGACGGGUAUGUAAGUCUGGAGGGAAAGCCGGGGGCCCAACCCCGGGACUGCUUUGGAAACUGUGUAACUGGAGUGCAGGAGGGGCAGGCGGAAUUCCUGGUGUAGCGGUGAAAUGCGUAGAUAUCAGGAGGAACACCGGCGGCGAAGGCGGCCUGCUGGACUGAAACUGACGUUGAGGCUCGAAAGCGUGGGGAGCAAACAGGAUUAGAUACCCUAGUAGUC